UAGUUGUGUAUGAUGUGUUCACUACACAGCGUGGUAUUCCUGCACUGCAAAUGAAUGUUACGAUUGCUUGCUUAAAAGAUCCUAGCAGAGUGGCCUAAAAAUUUGCACAUUUGGGCUGUCUUAUAACACAGCUCCUUCGUGGACGAGUGUAGCUGAGCAGAGCAACAGCUCCUGCACAAGUGGCUGCUCCAGCGGGAGAAGUUCAUACGAUGACUCUGUCUACAAUGAAGUGGACUUUGCUAGGGCAUUUUCGGAGGCAGCAAAAAUCGCUGAUCAUCGAGUCAGCGGCUCAACCAUCAUGACAGAACGCCCAGCAGCAAGGCGAGUUUGCAGAAUCCAAUUCCCAGAUUCAGCCGUUGUCCUUUAGUCUGCCUAGUCAGAAGAUUCCAUGGGACGAAGCAACCCGGCACGAUGAAAAUAGCUCAUCUGUGCACAAUAAUGAUGUGGACUCCUGCAUCAGGGAUCUACGCGAAACGUGUCCUUUCUUCAGCUAGUGGUGUCCUGUGCUUUCGACAAACAGUUACGACCUUCCAAUGGAAUGACUAAGCGAUAUCCUGCCAAAUACGGAUGCAAAGAUAUUUAUGGAAAGCGCUCUAGUGCCAGCCUUUGGUGUGACUUUCGUAGCAGUCCUUUCAGUCGCUGAGAAAAAAAGAGCGUCUCCGCUUACGGGAGAAGCAAAUUAUGCAAGACCAUGUGAUAUGUGCCAAAUAUGAAGUGCCAUGCAAUGUUAAGACAACGAGACGCACCUCAUGAAGAGGCGGCUAUACGUUCCGAGGGUGCACAAGUGUGUGUGUGCGUGUAUGUAUGUGCGCGUGUGCUUACGUUACGUGAGACAUUUGUGAAGAUUUCACCCUCGACGUGCACGCGUGGAUGCGAACACAACUAUUUGUGUGUGUGUUGAAACAGCGCAAUCAGUGGUGGUUAUCGCAAGCGCCUGCCAACAGCCACCCACUGCUGGCCAUUUCCAAGCAUAUCACUGGACUCAGCUCUACAUGUUGUUUUAUUGUGAUGAUUGACACCCCGCUCUAGGGAAUUCGUCCUAGGUUGCACAGCAUUUGCUAUCCGUUUCACUCCUCGGUUUGUGUAUAGGUAAAUGUGCGUGGGUUGAUCGUCCUCACACUUUUAAUUUAUUGUUGCCAGUUUUUAUUUAAAUGAACGUUUGUAGGUUUGAAAAUGUGUGUACAAAGUAAAAGAAAAUCGCUAGAAAUAAAAGUCACUGUCGCCAACUUACGAAAACUUG